rnacentral:lncRNA from 1 species
UUGGGGCUUCCUGGUCUGAGCUCUAGCUCACGAUUCUCCUGGUGGUUUUUGGUGCUGCCUCUGACUCUGUGUCCUUCCUUGUCCCACUCAGUAUGAAAAUGAGUUAACCCUGCACCUGGGCGAGAUCUGCACAAUGUGGACCCUCCAGGUGGGCACUCAGGAGCAUAUGGUGGCAUCCCUGGACCAGGCUUCCAGAGCAGACACAUACCCUACAGCACCACCUUCCUGUGUAACCACUGGUUCUUCGUCUCUACCCCACAGUUCCUGGACUGGGUAUUCAAUAGGUGGGAGCCUGUCCCUUCCACAGCACAGUGGGGACUCUGCCACCAGCUAGCUGUGUGUCUCAGGAAUUUUGCUGCACCUCUCUUAGCCUCAAUUUGCUCCUCUGAGAAGAAAGGUGGUAAGAGGAUGAAUCUCACAGGGUUCUUGCAGGGACUAAAUGGGGUGAGCCAUGGCAGGUGCUGACCUGGUGCUUGGCUCUGUGGAAAUGGCUGCCAGAUGUGCUGUGGCUGUUAUUUAUUUUUUGAACAUGAAGUAGCUCUCUGCCUCACUCGUGGCCGUCCUAUGUUUGGGAAAGCAUAUGGAAAGCAAACCUGUUUUCCCAUUUGUGAAGAGGGUUUGAGUUUCCACAUGGCUGAUCCCUGUGCUUGGGGUACCCAGAACAGGGCUCCCUGGGGGCUGGUGGAGGGGCCCUACGCUAAUUCAGAUAUCUGGGAAAAUUCUGGUUGGGGUUCAUUCUUUCAACAAAUAUACACUGAGCACCUACUUUGUGCAGGUACUUUUCUGCCUGCAGAAGGCACUCCCUGGGGAUUGUCUGAAUUCUGGCUGGGGAGUCAUGGGUGCACUAGACAUCAUAAGCAGGCUGCGUCCACAGUAUGUUGACAUUGUGAUGUCCUCCUGGCCUCUUCCAGAUACACAUGCAUCCUGCCAUAUUCUGACAGAGAUGAUGGACCUCAGGAUCAACUAAAAAUGUAGCCCUUCAGAGCAAGAGUCACUGGCAAGACCCAGCCCAUGCAGGUUCUAUGCCUGCCCUGCCUGAAGACCAG